UACGGAGGAUGCGAGCGUUAUCCGGAUUUAUUGGGUUUAAAGGGUGCGUAGGCGGCUUAGUAAGUCAGCGGUGAAAUUUUGCAGCUUAACUGUAACAGUGCCGUUGAUACUGCCAGGCUAGGAUUUGGUUGCUGUGGGUGGAAUGUGUGGUGUAGCGGUGAAAUGCUUAGAUAUCACACAGAAUAUCGAUUGCGAAGGCAGCUCACAAAGCCAAGAUUGACGCUGAGGCACGAAAGUGUGGGGAUCAAACAGGAUUAGAUACC
rnacentral:rRNA from 1 species